CCUACGGGCGGCAGCAGUGGGGAAUAUUGGGCAAUGGGCGCAAGUCUGACCCAGCAACGCCGCGUGAAGGAUGAAGGCCUUCGGGUUGUAAACUUCUUUUCUCAGGGAUGAAGACAGUGACGGUACCCGAGGAAUAAGCCACGGCUAACUACGUGCCAGCAGCCGCGGUAAUACGUAGGUGGCAAGCGUUAUCCGGAUUUAUUGGGAGUAAAGGGCGUGUAGGCGGGAGCGCAAGUCAGAUGUGAAAUCUCAGGGCUCAACCCUGAGCCUGCAGUUGAAACUGUUAUUCUUGAGUGCUGGAGAGGCAAUCGGAAUUCCGGGUGUAGCGGUGAAAUGCGUAGAUAUACGGAGGAACACCAGUGGCGAAGGCGGAUUGCUGGACAGUAACUGACGCUGAGGCGCGAAAGCGUGGGGAGCAAACAGGAUUAGAUACCCGAGUAGUC
rnacentral:rRNA from 1 species